GACGUAGGGCGCGAGCGUUGUCCGGAAUUAUUGGGCGUAAAGAGCUUGUAGGCGGUUUGUCGCGUCUGCUGUGAAAAUCCGGGGCUCAACCCCGGACUUGCAGUGGGUACGGGCAGACUAGAGUGUGGUAGGGGAGACUGGAAUUCCUGGUGUAGCGGUGAAAUGCGCAGAUAUCAGGAGGAACACCGAUGGCGAAGGCAGGUCUCUGGGCCACUACUGACGCUGAGAAGCGAAAGCAUGGGGGAGCGAACAGG
rnacentral:rRNA from 1 species